rnacentral:lncRNA from 1 species
UACGUGCAGGUACAUUAUUGAAAGCACAUGUUACAUACAUAUAUAUAUAAAUCAAACAUGGGAAACAGUCAUGGCGGCAUUCGUUUUCUGAGAAAUGGAGGCAGUUCUUACAAAUUCCAACUGGGCCAGUCCGCUUUCAUUAACAUAAAAGAUCGAUGGGGAGAAUAAUUAAGUGGGAAGAUAAUGGAAAAGUGAAAAGGGAGACGUGGAAAGUCUCGUACCAAAGAGAAGGAUUACCUUGCAGACUCAACAUAGACAAAACCACCGAGAGAAACUCAGAAGAGAAGAUAGAAAUUAGCAUUGAAGAUUGUAGGCAUGGACAAGAAAACAAACCUUAUCUUAUAGGAAAAGCCUGCUUCGUUAGCCUCAGCCUCUUACACAAGAAGGACUACUAAUUCAUUGCCAUUGUGGCAGCCAGCUUAGGGCAAGAAAUAAUGGACAGUUCAUGGGGGAUUAUGCCAAUGCUAAUAUCUAUGACGGAAAUAGAAUCAUCAAUCAAUACUUCUACACAG